rnacentral:rRNA from 1 species
AGAGUUUGAUCAUGGCUCAGAACGAACGCUGGCGGCAGGCUUAACACAUGCCAGUCGAGCGAAGUCUUCGGACUUAGCGGCGGACGGGUGAGUAACACGUGGGAACGUGCCCUUCGGUACGGAAUAGCCCAGGGAAACUUGGAUUAAUACCGUAUACGCCCUGCGGGGGAAAGAUUUAUCGCCGAAGGAUCGGCCCGCGCCUGAUUAGGUAGUUGGUAGGGUAAAGGCCUACCAAGUCUACGAUCAGUAGCUGGUUUGAGAGGAUGAUCAGCCACACUGGGACUGAGACACGGCCCAGACUUCUACGGAAGGCAGCAGUGGGGAAUCUUGGACAAUGGGGGCAACCCUGAUCCAGCCUUGCCGCGUGAGCGAAUAAGGCCUUAGGGUUGUAAAGCUUUUUCAACGGUGAAUAUAAUGACGGUAGCCGUAGAAGAAGCUCCGGCUAACACCGUGCCAGCAGCCGCGGUAAUACGGGAGG